AUACGUAGGUGGCGAGCGUUGUCCUGAAUUAUUGGGCGUUAAAGCGCGCGCAGGCGGGAAAGUAAGUCUACUCUAAAAGUGCGGGGCUCAACCCCGUGAUGGGGUGGAAACUGCUUUUCUUGAGUGCCGGAGAGGAAAGCGGAAUUCCCAGUGUAGCGGUGAAAUGCGUAGAUAUUGGGAGGAACACCAGUGGCGAAGGCGGCUUUCUGGACGGUGUCUGACGCUGAGGCGCGAAAGCCAGGGGAGC
rnacentral:rRNA from 1 species